AUCUUGUCUUAUUGACUAUGUGUGCCUGCUAUAUUACAACUGUCUAAGAUUACUUCCAAACUUCUUCCUGUUACAAAUAUUCGGAGACAUUCCUCCAUUCAAGAAAAGUGGCCUUGCUCUUAUGUCAUCUGACUAAAGGUUUCAUAGACCAAAAAUAACCAUCCAACCUGUUGGAAUACUGAAACAAUUGCUGCCUGCUUUCCACACACUACAUAAAAUAUGUGGAUAUCCUAAAUUCUACAAAAAAGAUUUGUAAGCAGAUCAAGCAAUACUGGGACUCCCUCUUCUCCAGAAGACAGAGACAUCCUGGCCUCCAUGCAGAGGAAUGUGUGGAUGGACAUAUAUUUAAGGAAGACACUAAACCAGAAAAUACUACAUUACACCCUCUUAAAAGACUUCUAAGAUUGUUGUCAUGCCUACCACUGACAUUCAGAUGAUGUGUAUUCUUGAUUGUGAUUUCAUGUUUGGAGCUGAUGAAGGAACCCAGGAGAUGAACAUAUGCCUGAGAAGAAGAACUAGUGUGGAAUUGUCAGCCAGGUUUUUGGUGAGUGCUCAGACUCCUUCCUGAUCCGGCACCACAUUUACUACAGUGGACAGAUGUUCUAGUCUCUGAUGAGGAGUUGCUAGCUGUAAGGAAGUACCUGGAAUGGGCUCCACUGCAUGAGGUUUGAAGUCUCCAGAGCAGCAAGGAGAGUGGGGAGUAGAACUCAUCAUCUUUAGGUCACUCAUCCCCGAUGGAUUGUUCCCAACCUUAGUAUACAGACAUGGAUGGUUGAACACAAACCUGUCAGGCUGACAAUGCAAUAGACUUCUACUAAAGUCCUUGGAACCAUGUUCAGAGUGCUGCACAUCCUCCUAAAGAUGCCACGGAUGACAUGGUUCCUUGUGAUUGUUGUUCUCUUCUUGUUGUUGCUGUUUUCUUUUAACUUUUGAAGAGGAUACAUUAUUAGUCUGUUGCUAUGUUAGUCAUCUCCUGGCAUUAGAAACCAACAUGCCACUGCUUAAAUGUUUUACAUUUCCUACUCUUUUUGGAAAACACAAUGUAUGCACAUCAUUUUUUCCUAUUGUUUCAAAGACAUACCACUAUGUAAUUCAACUUUACAAUUGGAAUCAUUUUGACCAAUAUUCACAUGAAUAUAAAUUUUAUGUGUAAACUU
rnacentral:lncRNA from 1 species